rnacentral:rRNA from 1 species
CCUACGGGAGGCAGCAGUAGGGAAUCUUCCACAAUGGGCGAAAGCCUGAUGGAGCAACGCCGCGUGGGUGACGAAGGUCUUCGGAUCGUAACACCCUGUUGUUAGAGACGAAAGUGCGUGAGAGUAACUGUUCACGUUUCGACGGUAUCUAACCAGAACGCCCCGGCUAACUACGUGCCAGCAGCCGCGGUAAUCCGUAGGUGGCAAGCGUUAUCCGGAUUUAUUGGGCGUAAAGGGAACGCAGGCGGUCUUUUAAGUCUGAUGUGAAAGCCUGCGGCUUAACCGGAGUAGUGCAUUGGAAACGGGGAGACUUGAGUGCAGAAGAGGAGAGUAGAACUCCAUGUGUAGCGGUGAAAUGCGUAGAUAUAUGGAAGAACACCAGUGGCGAAAGCGGCUCUCUGGACGGUAACUGACGCUGAGGUUCGAAAGCGUGGGUAGCAAACAGGAUUAGAUACCCUUGUAGUC